GACGAACCGUGCGAACGUUGUUCGGAAUCAUUGGGCGUAAAGCGCGUGUAGGCGGCCCGGUAAGUCCGCUGUGAAAGUCGGGGGCUCAACCCUCGAAUGCCGGUGGAUACUGUCGGGCUAGAGUGUGGGAGAGGCGAGUGGAAUUCCUGGUGUAGCGGUGAAAUGCGCAGAUAUCAGGAGGAACACCAAUUGCGAAGGCAGCUCGCUGGAACGUAACUGACGCUGAGACGCGAAAGCGUGGGGAGCAAACAGG
rnacentral:rRNA from 1 species